rnacentral:lncRNA from 1 species
CCGCCAGGUGUGCAGGCCGCUCCAAGCCCAGCCUGCCCCGCUGCCGCCACCAUGACGGUGAGCCUCUCCACAUGCCGCUCGGAUGGAUGCUGCUUGGAUGUGCAGCCUGGCAUGGAAGGGCUGGGGUUCUCUGAGCCUGGGAGGAGGGUGUUGGGAUGGGGUCUGGGAAACCCCUCAGUCUGGGGGUAGGGGAGGCAGCUGCAGAUCCUCGGAGCGCUGGCAUGCUGGGUGUCUUGGGCUGAAGGGCUAGCCUCUCUGGGCUUCAGUUUCCCCAUCUAUAGAGGGAGGGCUGUACUCCAUCUUUCCGCUGGGAACAAGGAAAGCUGAGGUGGAAGUGAGGUGCCCCCUGCCCUGGGCACCUCCUAACCACCCACCUGCCUGUUUCACCAGCUCCUCCCCGGCCUCCUGUUUCUGACCUGGCUGCACACAUGCCUGGCCCACCAUGACCCCUCCCUCAGGGGGCACCCCCACAGUCACGGUACCCCACACUGCUACUCGGCUGAGGAACUGCCCCUCGGCCAGGCCCCCCCACACCUGCUGGCUCGAGGUGCCAAGUGGGGGCAGGCUUUGCCUGUAGCCCUGGUGUCCAGCCUGGAGGCAGCAAGCCACAGGGGGAGGCACGAGAGGCCCUCAGCUACGACCCAGUGCCCGGUGCUGCGGCCGGAGGAGGUGUUGGAGGCAGACACCCACCAGCGCUCCAUCUCACCCUGGAGAUACCGUGUGGACACGGAUGAGGACCGCUAUCCACAGAAGCUGGCCUUCGCCGAGUGCCUGUGCAGAGGCUGUAUCGAUGCACGGACGGGCCGCGAGACAGCUGCGCUCAACUCCGUGCGGCUGCUCCAGAGCCUGCUGGUGCUGCGCCGCCGGCCCUGCUCCCGCGACGGCUCGGGGCUCCCCACACCUGGGGCCUUUGCCUUCCACACCGAGUUCAUCCACGUCCCCGUCGGCUGCACCUGCGUGCUGCCCCGUUCAGUGUGACCGCCGAGGCCGUGGGGCCCCUAGACUGGACACGUGUGCUCCCCAGAGGG